rnacentral:lncRNA from 1 species
UCCCAACAAAGACCUGUCCGAAAAAGGAUGUUCGAAGAGACCAGCCACAAACUUCACUCUGAGUAUUCUUUCAACAGCGUCAUUGACCCGAGCCAUUGGUAUUUCCCCCGACUCCACCAGGUCCGUCAUGUCUUGUAUGAACUGUUCAUACUUAAAUGGUACCAUCACCUGCAAUAACAUUGAUUCCAUAAUGGUGAAAAUCAUAUGCUAAGAUGAAAUAUUUUUGCAUAUUCGUUUCAAAACUCUUACCAUGUCAAUUCCAGCAUUAACCGCAGUUUUAACGCAGUUGCGGUAGUUCGAUCCCCAAGGGUCACUAAGCCGGUCCAAACCUUCCCAGUCUGAAACUAUAAAUCCCUGGAAAGAUAGGAAGCUAACCCUUAGCACCAAACUUUAAGCUUUUUUUCUUUUUUUUUUAUUUAUAAAUUUUGCAUUAGUCACAAUCAAGAAAAGAGUUACACCAACCUUGAAACCGAGUUUUUCCUUGAGAACUUCUGUUAAGAGGAAGUAAUUGGAGUGAAGGUUACUUCCGUUCCAGCUGGAGUAAGAUGCCAUAACCGUGGAGACACCCUGAGCAAGACACUUAAGAUAUGGAGGAAUAUGUAUCUUCUCCAAGUCUUCAUAUGAUGCAAUGGUGUUCCCUUCGUUUACCCCCUUGUCCGUACCACCAUCUCCAACAAAGUGUUUGGCGCAUGCGACGACCUUGUUGCUAUCACCCAGUAAAAGAUCCCAUGAGAGGAUGUUAACAAGACUAUUUAAAAGACUCUAAAUCAAGCCAUAGUGUAUUUUGAUGAUACCUUCCUGCAACAAAAGGGUAACCAUUUGGGUGUUCAACGGGUGGUUCGCCUUGUAGUCCAGAGACCAGCGAAGUCAUCUCAGAGACAAGUCCAGGGUCUUCUCCAUAACACUCAUAGCUUCGUCCCCAUCUCGGAUCUCCCAAUACCUGUAAGAAAAACAAGAACAAAUUUCCAUUCAAUCUAUAUUUUAAAUCAUUAUAUUCAAUAAAUACUAAAAGCUGACUCACGGCCACGCAGGGAGCAAACGCCCAGUGAACUCCGCUCGCCCUAGCUUCAAGUGCUGUUGCAGCUCCAAUUCUUCUGACCAAAUCCGCGUCACUACAGAGUUACCACAAGACAAGUUUCAGCAGAAAGACAGAAACAGAACAGAUCAAAUCAAAAAGUAAGUCCUACGCAUCCAGCUCCAGCGCAUGCAAAUCACUUUCUGGACUUCUACUCUUUGACAGAAACAGUUAGUUUGCUCAAAGUGAAAAAAAAAGAAACCUGGUGGCUCCGAGGGCGAUGUUGUGGGGGAAGACGGUGGCGCCGUAGACAUUGUUGUUGCCGUGAACGGCGUCUGUGCCAUAUAUUAUAGGGAUUCCCAAACGCGACGCUAACGCUGAUCGCUGAAAGCCAUCUAUCAUAUCCGCCCAAUCCGACGACUUAGCAUCCUCAAACGGCGCACUCCCUCCGGCGUUCAGUACACUGCCUGUAUUUUUAAAACAAAAUAUAUAUUACUAAUUAUAGUAAGUCUGAGAAUGAAAAAGGAAGAAAAUCUGACAAAUGAUAUUUGCCAUAAUCGGCAAGAAAAAGGACAAGCAAGUAAAAUUUCAGACAGGAAGAGAUAAGAUGAUGUGUGGUUUGUGUGUGUACCGAUGAAGAAAUCUCUAAUGGCGGCUGGAGAAGCGACAGUACGUUCAAUUUGAGUCAUCUGGCCGAUCUUCUCCGGCAGAGUCAUGCGAGAUAGAAGGUCUUGCACACGCGCCUCCACUGGCGCGUCUGGGGUCUGGUAAACGCAUGGUUCUUCCUUUCCAACCAUAUCCUCUCAUACUCUUGUGUUAUCAGAACUGAUGCUACUUCUUCCUCUUUAUCUUACCUAAAGCCCAGCUGAGACGUGGCACCAACGAUUCCGACAUCCCACCAAAUGCUUAUUUAAUUGGUUUAAAUGAAAUUUUUGUACCCAUUUGACUGACACAUUUUCUGUUGUCAAUUACACUUUUAGUCACAUUCUCCCUGUGACACACUUUCUGGUGUGAAUUACCUAUUUUAUCUUAUAACCAUAGAUUAUUGAGUGAAUUACGUAAUUGGACGCUUUUAUCUUUUUUUAACUCAAAAGAACAUUUGUUAUUUGAAACACACAAUUCUUAUUAUCGAUGCUCUUGUGGACAAUUAUGUCAUUGACCAUUAAUGAAGUUAGUUGGGCUUUUGUUGGGGAAAAAAAACCUGGUUACUUGAAUUGGUUUUAUUUAGAUGGAAAAUUAAUUGUCGUUAGGUUUAUAGAACAAUACGUUUAGAUUUUAGCCACAAGAUUUGGAAAACUUUUUUAUAUCUAAUGAUUGUUAUGGCUUAUGUAAUUUAUUGGUUUGGAAAAGUAAGAGAAGAUCCAAAAAUGUGUUUAGUAUUCUUUUUAAAUUAAGCCGGGAUUUUUUGGUUAAAUGUGAUAACCGAUUUUUUUUCCAGAUUUCCUAACUAAUUGGUUAAAUUUUUUUUUCUGAAAAAGUGUCUUGCGUAGAUGUGGACACAGAGCUAAACAGAUUGCAAAAGAAAAGUUAAUAAUUAUACACUAGCAUGUCUAUGAAUGUUUUGCAUCUAGCAAAAUUCGGUUGAAACUACAAAAGAGAGCUUUAGUACAUACAUUACCAAAGAGAGCAUGAUGUAAAAGAGACUGUUAAUCAUCAGGAGGAUAGCUGAGGUGCAUGGUGAGAAGGACGGAUUAUGGUUUUGUGGAUGUCCAGAAAUGUGAGGGGCAGGAUCACUAUGUGUGUAUUGCUUGGGUAUUGUGGACAGAGGGGGUGUGUGGAUGUGGUUGUCAUGAACUUACGAGGAGUGGAUGGUGGUUUUGUGGACAAGGGACACAUGUGGAUGUUGUUACCAGCAAAAAGCAAGGGGGUUGGGGAAGUGGAUGUGGAGGCUGCUGUUAUGGGCGAUGUGGACAGGAGAGCUGGGGUUGAGGUCGGGAGACAGGUAGUAUUGAGCAGCGUAAUCCAGGGUAAUCUUCUUCCUCCAUGGAGGCUGGGAUCUGAGACACAUUUUUUAUUUUAAGCUGGUUAGUUCUGAUUUUAAGUCCCUGAAAAUUAAAUUUCAUACACAAACUAUAGCUUAAAUCCUUUAAAAUAUGGAUCCAAUAAACACAAUCAAGAUCAACUCAUUGUUCUUAUUACUUGUAAAUCUAAAGGAACACACUUUGGUAUAGCAAAAGUGGGAAACAAUGCAAAAGUACCCAGAUUAUCUAAACCCACUAAAAACCAAUAAAGAACCAAGAUUUAGAUUUAGAUGUUGAAAACUUAGAUUCACUUCUUACCAGAUUCAACACGAGUCUCAAAGGUUCUCUCUGCGCAUGUCAAGGAAAGAAGUAUACUUGAUCUGGAAUAAAUUAGAACAAAACAGAGUUAAAAUAUGAGGAAAACAAAAGAAAAGUGACAAGGAAGAGACCCGUGGUGGUGGUAGUAAAUGCGACGGAACCGGUGACGAGCUGGAGAAUGGUGACCCCGAUGGUCAGACUCAAAUGAGGAAUCCCAAAUCGAUUAAUUUAAGAGAAGCUCCGCCGUGGGUUCAAGUUUGACGAACGUCCUUCUCUUAUAGCCUGAACCUGUUGGACAAUAGCAUCAACCAAUAAAUAAAAUACAAAACAUUCAGAAAUAUUAAGUAUGAGCAAGCCUCAGUACAAAAAAGGCAUUCCUUUACUUUUCCUGUUGCAGCAGAUUCCAUGACUGCCUUGAUGAUUCUGUGACUUCCAGUAAACUGCUUACGUAUUCAGAUUAAUUCCACCAAAACUGUAGACAACACAAUAAUAUGAAAAAUCAAAAUCGCAGGCUUUAACAAUCCAGAAAUAACAGACAAUCAACUUAAAGAUUUUAGAAUAUAAGGUUUAGCGUAGAGAUCAAGACGCUGAGGUGGUUUGUAGACUGGAAUAGGGAAAAAAAACAUAUAUACCUGAAACCACAGCGCCUAUGAGCUCUUGUUGCUUCUCAAGCUGAAACCACAAAGGCAAGUAUGACCACGAUCACUUCGCCGGAGAGAAAAUCGAGACAAACGCCUGAUGGAUCUGAUGCUUGACAGAGAGAGACCUUUGGGAUUUGGUUUGCGUAUCUGUUCAUCCCUAGCGACGAACACAUUUAUAGUGUAGGGCUUCAGUCAGUUACUUUGGAAGAUACAAUGGCCGAUUUAAUUGGAGAGUGAGAAGAGAGGUGCAGUAGGUGUUAAUUCUUGGAUUAAUGUCAGUCGAUAACUACACCCGUUAGAGAGACCAACACCGGAGGUACAGAGAUGUGAAGAGACACGGAAAGCGACACAAUCGAUAAUCAGAUGAACCCCAAAAACAUGUGGGUCUCAUAAGGAAAACAAUAAAAGCCCAUCAAAUUAUUAAGACGUAAGUCCACAUGAAAAAUCAACACGUAAAGUUGUUUCUAAGCUGACACCUGUCAGCUAUCGCCCCUCCCUCCAUGCUGAUCUGGCGCAAGAAAAAGAGAUAAAAAUCUCUAUUAUUAUUAUAGAUAGAUAGAUAUCUGUUAUAGACAUCAAUUACGUAUGAACGGUGUAUGUAUAUCAGUUUUUCUAUUUUCCGGUGUCUUGCCAAUUUGAUGCCAAAGAUAAGUUAACGCACAUCCAGGUUGCACUGGGACGGAAAACAAGUAAACACUCUAAUUCGAAGAAAAUCUAACAGCAUCUUCAAAACACAUUCUCUAACUUUAAAUAUAUAGGUUCUUUGCUAUUUAAAAAAGAAUUUCAAAGUUGUAGUACUAAAACUGCUUACUACUCAGUUUCAUAUUUUAUUUUACAUUUUGAUAUUUACAAUUACAUAUCGAAUUGAUGAUUCUUAAAUAUGUUGUCUUCAUCAUUUUAAACCUUAAAAUGUUUAUAUCUCAUAAAUAUUUCAAUUUUUUUUUAUCAAUUUUAUUUUUACACAUAAAAUUAGAUAAAAACUUUAAAGUAUUUUAAAUUAGAUUUAGAAAACAACAAUAUUACAAAAAAACUUGUCAAAUACACUAGUUGAUCAUAUAUAAAAGUGUUACGAUAAUAUUUUUAUGAAAUAAUAUGGUAUUUUAAUUAUAAUUUAAUAUUUAUUUAUGUAUUUUAUGCAAAAUUUUAUAUUUAGCGUUACAUUUUAUUAAUUAAUAUUGUUACUAAUAGCAAACCAACAAUACAAUAGUACUUAUUGCUAGCUUAUUUUACAAACACGACAUUGUUUGUACUACAUGGCAUUAGAUACUUCCCCAAAGUACACAAUAAGACUGGUGAAGUUACACUGGUUUUGAACUGAGACCGAAACCAAGAGGGAACAAUGGGUCAUACGAAUUGGUACGAGCGUUUAGCGGCAAAUGCUCAACUGUUUUGAACCAGCUCACUGGUAACUUCCCCUCGAAGUCAUAAUCUCCAAAAAUGACGUCAGCCAUUCCUUGUCCUUCUGUUCCAGGCAGCCAAGCAGCUACUAGAGCCUCCGUCUUUUCAAGAAUUGUCGGCUCCAAGGCCACAGGUCGUCCUGAGAUCAACAUCACCAGAGUCGGGAUUCUCUCUGCCACCGUGGUUACAAUAUCGCUACCGUUAAAUGGUAUAAUGAGUUCCGAGCUGUCUCCUUUAGUCUCUGCAUAGGGUGAUUCCCCCACUGCAACAAUGGCGUAAGAGAAUCCUUCAUUCAAGGCUAAGGUUUCCUUUGAUGGAGUUUUCUCGUAGACCACUUCGGUAUUGUCUCCAACUGCUGCUUUUAUGGCAUCCAAAAGCGUCGUGCCUACAUUUCAGACAAAGAUAGUUAACUUUCCGACAGCAUCUCUACCAGUUAGUCUCUUUCAAAACCAUAUAGCUGUAGAUUUAACUACCGAUAGUGAUCCUGCCACUUAGACCGAACCAUGUCUUUGUCCACCCACCACACUGAUACCCAAGAUCAUCUGCAUGCGUUCCAGUCACUAGAAUUCUCUUGGCGUUGCGAUCUAGUGGCAGAAACGGUUUAUCAGCAUGUUUCCCGUUCUUUAGCAACACUAACGACUUUCUAACUGCUUCACGCCCCAAUUCUCUAUGUUCCUGCAUGCAUAGAAACAGAGUCAAUAAGGCUCUCAUACUUCUCUACUCGGGUACGUUACGAGACACAUCACCUUGCAGCCAACAGUUCCCAACAAAGAUCUGUCCGAAAAAGGAUGUUCGAAGAGACCAGCCACAAACUUCACUCUGAGUAUUCUUUCAACAGCGUCAUUGACCCGAGCCAUUGGUAUUUCCCCCGACUCCACCAGGUCCGUCAUGUCUUGUAUGAACUGUUCAUACUUAAAUGGUACCAUCACCUGCAAUAACAUUGAUUCCAUAAUGGUGAAAAUCAUAUGCUAAGAUGAAAUAUUUUUGCAUAUUCGUUUCAAA